rnacentral:rRNA from 1 species
GACGAACGCUGGCGGCGUGCUUAACACAUGCAAGUCGAACGAAGCUUGAUUACGGAUUCUCCGGAUGAAGUAUGAUAUGACUGAGUGGCGGACGGGUGAGUAACGCGUGAGUAACCUGCCCUUCAGAGGGGGAUAGCGUUUGGAAACGAACGGUAAUACCGCAUAAUGUAUUUUGACCGCAUGAUCGAAAUACCAAAGAUUUAUCGCUGAAGGAUGGACUCGCGUCUGAUUAGGUAGUUGGUGGGGUAACGGCCUACCAAGCCGACGAUCAGUAGCCGGACUGAGAGGUUGAUCGGCCACAUUGGGACUGAGACACGGCCCAGACUCCUACGGGAGGCAGCAGUGGGGAAUAUUGCACAAUGGGCGCAAGCCUGAUGCAGCAACGCCGCGUGAAGGAAGACGGUUUUCGGAUUGUAAACUUCUGUUCUUAGUGAAGAAUAAUGACGGUAGCUAAGGAGCAAGCCACGGCUAACUACGUG